AUACGGAGGGUGCAAGCGUUACUCGGAAACACUGGGCGUAAAGCGCGCGCAGGCGGCUAUUUAAGUUGGAUGUGAAAGCCUACGGCUCAACCGUAGAACUGCAUCCAAAACUAUUUAGCUAGAGUGUGGGAGAGGAAGAUGGAAUUAGUUGUGUAGGGGUAAAAUCCGUAGAGAUAACUAGGAAUACCAAAAGCGAAGGCAAUCUUCUGGAACACUACUGACGCUGAGGCGCGAAAGCGUGGGGAGCAAACGGGAUUAGAUACCCUAGUAGUCC
rnacentral:rRNA from 1 species